CGUCGGCCCUCCAAAGGCCGACACCGAAGAGGCUUGUUUAUCCUUGCCCGGCGUGCGGUUGGGGUUCCCCCAUCCAAUCCACGGCAGCUUCCGGGGUGCUUCUCGCGCCCGCUGACCGUUCCGCGUCUCCAAAGCGCGAAGCGGAAGCGACGCAUCGC
rfam:Methylobacterium extorquens AM1, complete genome.